UAACGCCGCGGACUGUCGUAAUAUAAU
rnacentral:sRNA from 1 species